rnacentral:sRNA from 1 species
CUCCCUCUUUUCACCAUUCUUUGGCCCACACUGUGCCUGCAUGGUGAUCACACAGCCUACAGAGAACCCUAUCUGUUUGUGACCCACUUCAACUCACUCGAAGUAAUUGAGAUCCAGGCACGCUCCUCGGCAGGGUAAGCAUUGUCCUCUCAUGCGUGGAAAACCUCAGCUGUUGGGGUAGGUGUUGGGGCCAGCCGCAUGUUCCUUCCUAACCUGCCUAGCAAUGGAGGUAGCCUGCAAUGUAGGUAACUGGAACUCUGGGACUCUGCAGGACCCCUGCCCGAGCGUACCUGGACAUCCCGAACCCGCGCUACCUGGGCCCUGCCAUUUCCUCAGGAGCGAUUUACUUGGCGUCCUCAUACCAGGAUAAAUUAAGGGUCAUUUGCUGCAAGGGAAACCUCGUGAAGGAGUCCGGCACUGAACACCACCGAGGCCCGUCCACCUCCCGCAGCAGCCCCAACAAGCGAGGUCCGCCCACGUACAAUGAGCACAUCACCAAGCGCGUGGCCUCCAGCCCAGCGCCG